UAGGACUUCAUCUUUUGCAACUUGAUCUUUUCUAUAUUUCAAUUGAUGCCUCGCUCUUUUUUUAUUCUCUCUGCAAGAUUUAUUGAAAUGAAAGAACAAUGGAGACAGAGAAAGCAAACAAAACACACAAACACAAUCACCGAGACAAGCUAGAGAGCUACUUCUUGUAAAAGAAUUGAAGAAUGAUAGAGACAGAAAGCAAACAACUUUGUAUUGUUUUUGUGUGCAAGACAAAGGUGAGAUCUGGGGCUGGAAGCUUUUAAAAGGUUCUUCCUACGAGCUUUUACUUUCUUGCUCGAAAUCUUGGCAGCAGCUUGUCUAGGUUUUCAGGGACUGGUCAGUUGGAUGAACAGGCUAUGCUGUUUAGCUUUUGAGCAAGUAUGGUGAAAGGAGCUUAUAAUGGUGUCUAGGUCUAUGUUACGUGUGUUUAGUGUUUGUGUUCUUAAUUUGCCCCUGGUUUAAGUGGAUCAACCAAAAAGCAUGUCCGGACACAUGGCAGCCCCAACUAAAUCUAAAAACAAUACGUACCAUCUCUGUGAUCUCUAUUUUUGCUGUACUUUGUAAAAAAAUUGCUUUAUGUGAUGAGC